UGAACAGCAGUGUAGAAGUAAAAAGAAAAGACCUGCUUGUGCCAUUAGUGGCACCGUCAUCCACUGACUCUUUCAGCUGUUUCUCUUUUACCACCUCUCAGCAAACACUUGCGGCUCAGCUCCAGGGGUUCCCAUGCUGAUAGGAUGUCAAUAAAACCUGCUAGCACUCCUUGGAGUUAGGCAGGAGGGAUGCCGUAGGCUCCUGAACGGAGAUUUGAUAAAUGGAUCACAGUCUUGCCCAGAAGAACCUUCUGUCCCCAGCUCCCCAAACAGCUCUGCCAAUGUACCUCUGCUUUCCCCUGAGUUCAAGAUGAGGAUCCUGCUGCAAACCACCUGCCUGUGGUGGAACAGUUGCUCCUGUGGAGGCACCUGAGUAGUUUUAAACCUGUGACUUGAUAAAAAUACAAGUAGAAGGCCAUGGAGGGAGGCAACAAGUGCUGUAAUGAACUGCCAGAUAUGUCACUGUUCACUACAAGAUCUGCUUAACUCACUUACCGCCGCUCAGAGAUCUUCACCAUCUCCUGCCUGCAGGCAGAGCAGAUGCUCCUAUUCCUCUCUUGUCCUUUCCCAGAGAGAUGCCUUCUAUGGUUUUGCACCAAUUUCCCAAAAAUAAUAAUGAACUUUACUGAACAAGGAGCCACACACUUAUUUCUAUUC